rnacentral:rRNA from 1 species
AGACCCGAAACCCGGUGAUCUAGCCAUGGGCAGGUUGAAGGUUGGGUAACACUAACUGGAGGACCGAACCGACUAAUGUUGAAAAAUUAGCGGAUGACCUGUGGCUGGGGGUGAAAGGCCAAUCAAACCGGGAGAUAGCUGGUUCUCCCCGAAAGCUAUUUAGGUAGCGCCUCGUGAAUUCAUCUCCGGGGGUAGAGCACUGUUUCGGCUAGGGGGCCAUCCCGGCUUACCAACCCGAUGCAAACUGCGAAUACCGGAGAAUGUUAUCACGGGAGACACACGGCGGGUGCUAACGUCCGUCGUGAAGAGGGAAACAACCCAGACCGCCAGCUAAGGUCCCAAAGUCAUGGUUAAGUGGGAAACGAUGUGGGAAGGCCCAGACAGCCAGGAUGUUGGCUUAGAAGCAGCCAUCAUUUAAAGAAAGCGUAAUAGCUCACUGGUCGAGUCGGCCUGCGCGGAAGAUGUAACGGGGCUAAACCAUGCACCGAAGCUGCGGCAGCGACACUCAGGUGUUGUUGGGUAGGGGAGCGUUCUGUAAGUCUGCGAAGGUGGCCUGUGAGGGUUGCUGGAGGUAUCAGAAGUGCGAAUGCUGACAUAAGUAACGAUAAAGCGGGUGAAAAGCCCGCUCGCCGGAAGACCAAGGGUUCCUGUCCAACGUUAAUCGGGGCAGGGUGAGUCGACCCCUAAGGCGAGGCCGAAAGGCGUAGUCGAUGGGAAACGGGUUAAUAUUCCCGUACUUGGUGUUACUGCGAAGGGGGGACGGAGAAGGCUAUGUUGGCCGGGCGACGGUUGUCCCGGUUUAAGCGUGUAGGUGUGUGUUCCAGGUAAAUCCGGUUCACUUUAACACUGAGGCGUGACGACGAGGCACUACGGUGCUGAAGCAACAAAUGCCCUGCUUCCAGGAAAAGCCUCUAAGCAUCAGGUAACAUCAAAUCGUACCCCAAACCGACACAGGUGGUCAGGUAGAGAAUACCAAGGCGCUUGAGAGAACUCGGGUGAAGGAACUAGGCAAAAUGGUGCCGUAACUUCGGGAGAAGGCACGCUGACACGUAGGUGAAGUGAUUUACUCACGGAGCUGAAGUCAGUCGAAGAUACCAGCUGGCUGCAACUGUUUAUUAAAAACACAGCACUGUGCAAACACGAAAGUGGACGUAUACGGUGUGACGCCUGCCCGGUGCCGGAAGGUUAAUUGAUGGGGUCAGCGCAAGCGAAGCUCCUGAUCGAAGCCCCGGUAAACGGCGGCCGUAACUAUAACGGUCCUAAGGUAGCGAAAUUCCUUGUCGGGUAAGUUCCGACCUGCACGAAUGGCGUAAUGAUGGCCAGGCUGUCUCCACCCGAGACUCAGUGAAAUUGAACUCGCUGUGAAGAUGCAGUGUACCCGCGGCAAGACGGAAAGACCCCGUGAACCUUUACUAUAGCUUGACACUGAACAUUGAGCCUUGAUGUGUAGGAUAGGUGGGAGGCUUUGAAGUGUGGACGCCAGUCUGC